rnacentral:rRNA from 1 species
AUUGAACGCUGGCGGCAGGCCAAACACAUGCAAGUCGAACGGGUGGGGUACGGGUGAGAACUGUCGGGGAAACGGCCGGAGGGAGGGGGAUAACUACUGGAACCGUAACCUAAACCCGCAAACCAUAAGCGGUACCCAGAUGGGAUUAGCUAGUUGGUGGGGUAACGGCUCACCAAGCCGCCGAUCCCUAGCUGGGCUGAGAGGAUGACCAGCCACACUGGAACUGAGACACGGUCCAGACUCCUACGGGAGGCAGCAGUGGGGAAUAUUGCACAAUGGGCGCAAGCCUGAUGCAGCCAUGCCGCGUGUAUGAAGAAGGCCUUCGGGUUGUAAAGUACUUUCAGCGGGGAGGCGUUACCCGCAGAAGAAGCACCGGCUAACUCCGUGCCAGCAGCCGCGGUAAUAC